rnacentral:rRNA from 1 species
AGAGUUUGAUCCUGGCUCAGGAUGAACGCUGGCGGCGUGCCUAAUACAUGCAAGUCGAGCGAACGGACGAGAAGCUUGCUUCUCUGAUGUUAGCGGCGGACGGGUGAGUAACACGUGGAUAACCUACCUAUAAGACUGGGAUAACUUCGGGAAACCGGAGCUAAUACCGGAUAAUAUUUUGAACCGCAUGGUUCAAAAGUGAAAGACGGUCUUGCUGUCACUUAUAGAUGGAUCCGCGCUGCAUUAGCUAGUUGGUAAGGUAACGGCUUACCAAGGCAACGAUGCAUAGCCGACCUGAGAGGGUGAUCGGCCACACUGGAACUGAGACACGGUCCAGACUCCUA